rnacentral:rRNA from 1 species
CGGACGGGGGAGUAAUGUCUGGGAAACUGCCCGAUGGAGGGGGAUAACUACUGGAAACGGUAGCUAAUACCGCAUAACGUCGCAAGACCAAAGAGGGGGACCUUCGGGCCUCUUGCCAUCGGAUGUGCCCAGAUGGGAUUAGCUAGUAGGUGGGGUAACGGCUCACCUAGGCGACGAUCCCUAGCUGGUCUGAGAGGAUGACCAGCCACACUGGAACUGAGACACGGUCCAG